AAGAUGCACAGUGCCUUGUGUUAGAAUGCUUACAAACCCAAAUCAUACCUAGAAAAUCAAAAUGGGCUGAGAUGCAAAUGAAAGAGUUAGUUAAUUGAGAUAAUUUUUAUAACAACACCAUCUUAAUUUGAUCACUUUCUUGUUUUGUUUUGCAGCAAAGGAGGUGGAUCUCUAGGUGUGAUUUGAAAGACAACCAUUUAGACCAGGAAAUGAAGAAAAUCCAGAUUCAAAAGAAACUACUGAGGCCAUCUGGGAGGGCUUUGCCUGGAAACAAAAUGCCAGCACCCUCCAGCACCAACUCCUCCUACCGCAGGGAUAGGGUCUAACUAAUCGAAGACUGUACGGUCAAGUGGAUGAUGGAACACAGUAUAAAAAGACCCUUGUGUCCUGAUCCUGUUUAUCUCAGAUCUGCUUAAGCUUCAUCAGGGGAAGUCUGAGUUGCAAGAUGAGAUCCCAGUUAAGCUGGUACACCCUGGAUAUGAUAUUGGACACUGGGCUAUAACCUAUUAACAAAAUUCUAAAGAAACUCUUUGUAAUUACAAAGUUCACCAUCUCUUCUAUGUAUCCGAACCUAAAGAAUUGAACUCAUGUCUGUAUGUAUAUUGAUCUUUUAACCUAUA